AUUUGAUUAUAAAAUGAUUGGUUGGGUGGAGGGGGUUGGAUUUUGCGGGAAGGGUAGUAAACUAGAAUCAGAAUUUUCUUCUGCUUCGAAAAUGUAUUUAUUUGCAGUCUAGAAAUGCCAAUGUUCAGAAGUUAUCGUUAUCGCCCUCACUGCCGUAGUGCCGUGAUUCUCAGGCAAACAACGUGGUUGUAAUUUUCAAAUGCAUCCACUAUCCUAGCAAUCUUCAAACCGACGUGUCCGCAGGCGAAUUCCUUCCUGCUUAAAAUGUCUUGAUUGGUGCACAGCUUUUGAUUAUGUAUCCAUCAAUGUGAAUAGGUAAAGAAUCUUGUGGUACCAAAUUGGAAGUUUCCUGUGAUGAAGGUGUACCUUGUUGAAGUCCUGGUUUCAUCCAAUUAGAACUCGGGAAUUGGGCUUUCUUCUCGCGGGUACAAUCCAUUCUAUAAUCGGUCGGAAAUCAUAAUGGCAAGCAACACCAUUGGCUCGAGUUUCCAUUUUGGAAAUUGGUGUCCGUAAGGUGCGUCUCGUGUCAGAUGUUUUCUAAUUUAAUAAAGUUUCAGAUGGAUGAGAUCACCCGACUACUUCGUCUGAAAGUAUGUGACCGAAACUUAUAUAUUGCAUGUCUAAUGGCCUAUUAUCCUCAUUUAUUAUUUGACGUUGUUGAAAUAUCACUAAGUUUUAAACUGGCUUUUUUGUCAUCAAGUUAACUUUGUCUUAUUUCUCAUGUGAAAAUAUCUGGAGACAGUGUCAGGCAGUCACACGCUGAUAUUCCGCACUGCUGAAAUUUUUGCGUUUCUUUGAAAUUUUUCAGGAUUUCCCCCAGUAAUUAGGUAAUAAAUAAAUAUGUCUAGGGAAUCAACUACGGUAUCGGUCUUCAAGAUUUGGCAUUUAUUUUGAGCUUUAGUUCGUAAUUGAUAUAAGUUCGCACUUUACAUCAAAUUAAACUGUUUUUCGCAUACUUCCGGUAGUACUUAUUGAGCAAAUUGUGGAAACAUUGUAACCCGCAUUGUAAUUGACAGGGUACGAAAAAUCGUCAAGGUGAUGGCGCCACUAGUACGCUGCUGUGGCUCAAUUAUAAAACCUAGUCAACACAUUUACAUUUAGCGCAGAAUUAUUUGGAGCAGAUAUGACGCAUCACUUGGCGUGAUUGCGUUACUUAUUUUGGUUGAAUUGCGUCCGUUUUUGUCUCGGAGCUUGGGUUACUUGUCUGCUGGGUGAUUUAACUAAUUUAGGGAUAUUUCUGUUGUUGAAGUUUGUGUCCCAGCGACUUCCAUCGUCCAUCCAUUUUGGCUAGAAGUUCCCUCAUGUUUUGUUUUACGAUUAUUCGUCCAUCUUGGGGCGAUCAAUUGAUUAAUAUUUUUUUAGCCUAUCUAAAAAUGUAAUUAAAGUACAUGUUGUGGGUUUAUUCGUUGAUCUAAAUAUUGUGCACUUGCCGACAAGUGCUCCGUCAUAGGCUAUACACAAGAUAUUUUACAUCUAAUUUAACAUGGUUAAAUUUAACAUUUUUAUUUCUUAAAAUGCUGUCUUACAGGGAAUCGGUAGUGCUGACAAGGUCGUAACUAUUGCGAACAAUCGGUGACGCAGACUGUUUCAUCUGAGCGACUGAACGAUCAACUCGUCAUUUCCCAUUGAACUAGAAGAAUCACGAUUGUAUCGAGUAACAUAAGACUAAGAGAUUAUGUAUCUUUCAAUGGGGCUAUUGCGGAUGAUGUUUUCUCUACUCUUGUUUCGCCACUCUGCAAAAUCAAAUUUGAAAGGAGCUUGGUUCGACACAGAUCGGUGCUCAUUAAUUUAUUAAUUUGUGCAUUAAUUCGACGUUACACUGGAGAGCAUUGAAAUGUUGAUUAACUUAAAAAUUGCUGAUACAUUUUGUGGUAAUGAAUUUUAGUAAAUCCGUAAGCAGUCGCUUCGAUUUUUCUUCGAUUUGAAACUGUAUGUAUAACAAAUAAUGCGGUAAUCUAAAUUUAUUUCUGUAUUGUGUUCUCUUGUUCUCAUCAAUUUCCGCAAUUUCCCCUCGACUGAUAACCGACGGCAAAAUGCGAGACGCCGUCGUUUUCGAUAACUUUUCAAAAACGUUGAUGCCAGAAAAUGUAACUCGCCUUACACUUGAUGACAUUUCAAUCACGAUUCAAUGCGAAAUUAAGUCAUCGUCGUUGAAAAAAAAUUUCCCAGGCUCAUCUCGCAUCUAGCAUACCCUCCCCCCUCACUCACUCACCCUCUAUCCACAUUGUCUCGUCUUUUGACCUCUUUUCAAACAGAAGGUUAGAGAAGGAGAGAAGUUGACUGCGCAAUUUCAUAAAAGUUGAAAUUCCGCAUUUUCCGUAA
rnacentral:lncRNA from 1 species